rnacentral:rRNA from 1 species
UAGGGAAUAUUGGACAAUGGGCGAAAGCCUGAUCCAGCAACGCCGCGUGCGCGAUGACGGCCUUCGGGUUGUAAAGCGCUUUUAGAGGAGAUGUGAAAGGACAGUAUCCCCAGAAUAAGCCUCGGCGAACUACGUGCCAGCAGCCGCGGUAAAACGUAGGAGGCUAGCGUUAUCCGGAUUUAUUGGGCGUAAAGCGCGUGCAGGCAGUUUGAUAAGUUGGAUGUGAAAUCUCCCGGCUUAACUGGGAGCGGUCGUUCAAAACUAUCAGACUAGAGAAUGGGAGAGUAAGGUGGAAUUCCGGGUGUAGUGGUGAAAUGCGUAGAUAUCCGGAGGAACACCAGUGGCGAAAGCGGCUUUCUAGACCAUUUCUGACGCUAAGACGCGAAAUCUAGGGUAGCAAACGG